AUCCAGUUGACGAAUCCCAAAUAGGAUGAAACACGCGUCUAACUGGAU
rnacentral:hammerhead_ribozyme from 1 species